UGGGGAAUAUUGCACAAUGGGCGCAAGCCUGAUGCAGCCAUGCCGCGUGUAUGAAGAAGGCCUUCGGGUUGUAAAGUACUUUCAGCGGGGAGGAAGGUGUUGUGGUUAAUAACCACAGCAAUUGACGUUACCCGCAGAAGAAGCACCGGCUAACUCCGUGCCAGCAGCCGCGGUAAUACGGAGGGUGCAAGCGUUAAUGGGACUUACUGGGCGUAAAGCGCACGCAGGCGGUCUGUCAAGUCGGAUGUGAAAUCCCCGGGCUCAACCUGGGAACUGCAUCCGAAACUGGCAGGCUUGAGUCUUGUAGAGGGGGGUAGAAUUCCAGGUGUAGCGGUGAAAUGCGUAGAGAUCUGGAGGAAUACCGGUGGCGAAGGCGGCCCCCUGGACAAAGACUGACGCUCAGGUGCGAAAGCGUGGGGAGCAAACA
rnacentral:rRNA from 1 species